AACGCAAAUUGCGCUCUUGGGUAGCCCUAGGAGCACGCCUCUCUCAGUAUCGGUUCAACAAUCUCUCAGCAGCGUGAUUGCAAAAUUGCGUGUUGGCUGGAUAAUGAGAGUCUGUUUUGUUUUCAUUUACGAACAGUCUCUUUAAGUACAUGGAGUAAAUAAUUUGCUAACGAUCAGCUCUGCUUUUACGAGCAGAUAGUCUAUUUUUGACUGUUGUUCGAUAGUGAUGUGAAUACUGGCCUUUACUGGUCUCAUUUUACAUCUUAUCUACUCGUGACAAUACCUAAAGUUGAGGAUGGGUGAACGUUCGAUCUAGUAUUAUUUGCGUGAGAAAACCAUAUGGUUUUUCUUCGGAAAAGCCUGAAUUUUGAUCUGAGAUGAAGCGAGACAACCCCCUGAAUUUAA
rnacentral:misc_RNA from 1 species